UACGUAGGGAGCGAGCGUUGUCCGGAUUCAUUGGGCGUAAAGAGCUCGUAGGCGGCUUGGUAAGUCGGAUGUGAAACCCCCAGGCUCAACCUGGAGUCGCCAUCCGAUACUGCCAUGGCUAGAGUCCGGUAGGGGCCCACGGAAUUCCUGGUGUAGCGGUGAAAUGCGCAGAUAUCAGGAGGAACACCGAUGGCGAAGGCAGUGGGCUGGGCCGGCACUGACGCUGAGGAGCGAAAGCGUGGGGAGCGAACAGG
rnacentral:rRNA from 1 species